rnacentral:rRNA from 1 species
UACAGAGGGGGCAAGCGUUGUUCGGAAUUACUGGGCGUAAAGGGCGCGUAGGUGGCCUUCUAAGUUGAACGUGAAAUCCCUGGGCUCAACCCAGGAACUGCGUCCAAGACUGGGAGGCUUGAAUCCGGGAGAGGGAUGCGGAAUUCCAGGUGUAGCGGUGAAAUUCGUAGAUAUUCGGAGGAACACCAGUGGCGAAGGCGGCUCACUGGUCUGGUACUGACGCUGAGGUGCGAAAGCGUGGGGAGCAAACAGG